rnacentral:rRNA from 1 species
GAUGAACGCUAGCGGCAGGCCUAACACAUGCAAGUCGAGAGGCAGCACAGAAACAGCAAUGUUUUGGUGGCGACCGGCGGACGGGUGCGUAACGCGUAUGCAACCUACCUUUAACAGGGGGAUAACGGAGAGAAAUUUCCACUAAUACCCCAUAACAUCGAUCAAGGCAUCUUGAUUGGUUGAAAACUCCGGUGGUUAAAGAUGGGCAUGCGUUGUAUUAGGUAGUUGGUGAGGUAAUGGCUCACCAAGCCUACGAUACAUAGGGGGACUGAGAGGUUAGCCCCCCACACUGGUACUGAGACACGGACCAGACUCCUACGGGAGGCAGCAGUGAGGAAUAUUGGUCAAUGGGGGCAACCCUGAACCAGCCAUGCCGCGUGCAGGAAGACGGCUCUAUGAGUUGUAAACUGCUUUUAAACAGGGAUAAAGCACAGUAUGUAUACUGUGUUGAAGGUACUGUAAGAUUAAGGAUCGGCUAACUCCGUGCCAGCCGCCGCAGUAA